rnacentral:misc_RNA from 1 species
CACUAAUCAAGCCUGGCUUGCUGUUGGACCUCUUGUCAAUUAAACUCGACGGGCCCCAAAGAUAAUGACGGUGUUAUUAGGACCUCAGAUGCAACGAGCUUUCAUUAGCACGCAUAUUGUUACGCCUUUUAACCCGGUCUUUUUUUAACCAAUUUCUAAAGGUUGACCUCGGAUCAGGUAGGAAUACCCGCUGAACUUAA